CCUACGGGAGGCUGCAGUGGGGAAUAUUGGACAAUGGGGGCAACCCUGAUCCAGCCAUGCCGCGUGUGUGAAGAAGGCCCUCGGGUUGUAAAGCACUUUCAGUGAGGAAGAACGCCUGGUGGUUAAUACCCAUCAGGAAAGACAUCACUCACAGAAGAAGCACCGGCUAACUCCGUGCCAGCAGCCGCGGUAAUACGGAAGGUGCGAGCGUUAAUCGGAAUUACUGGGCGUAAAGCGCGCGUAGGUGGCUUGGUAAGCCGGUUGUGAAAGCCCCGGGCUCAACCUGGGAACGGCAUCCGGAACUGUCAAGCUAGAGUGCAGGAGAGGAAGGUAGAAUUCCCGGUGUAGCGGUGAAAUGCGUAGAGAUCGGGAGGAAUACCAGUGGCGAAGGCGGCCUUCUGGACUGACACUGACACUGAGGUGCGAAAGCGUGGGUAGCAAACAGGAUUAGAUACCCGAGUAGUC
rnacentral:rRNA from 1 species